UACGUAGGGGGCAAGCGUUGUCCGGAAUUAUUGGGCGUAAAGAGCUCGUAGGCGGUCUGUUGCGUCCGCUGUGAAAACCCGGGGCUUAACCCUGGGCUGGCAGUGGAUACGGACAGACUAGAGGUAGGUAGGGGAGAAUGGAAUUCCCGGUGUAGCGGUGAAAUGCGCAGAUAUCGGGAGGAACACCGGUGGCGAAGGCGGUUCUCUGGGCCUUACCUGACGCUGAGGAGCGAAAGCGUGGGGAGCGAACAGG
rnacentral:rRNA from 1 species